UUUUAAAACGAAGUUAAAAAGUACGUGAAACUGCUUAGAGGUUAAACCCGAUGAACCUAAAUAUCCAGUAUGAGAAAGUCAUUAUUAUGAGUAUAUUAUUUUAUAAUGUAUUAAUAGUGUGCAUUUUUUUCAUAAAAAGGACAUUGUAAUCUGUUAAUACAAUUUAUAUAUUCUUUUAUAUAUUAUUUUUAUCAUAAAGAGUCAUGUAUAAGUUUACAUAUAAAUUAAUUAAUUUAUUAAUUAAUUGAUGUAAGAUCGAUGAAUUUCUAGAUAAAUAGUUAACAGUAUUAAAAUAUAUAAUGCUUACAUAAUUUUUUAUGUUUUAUAUAUAAUAUGUACAUGUACAUAUAUAUGUUUUUGCAUUUAUAUUAUAACAAUGCUAUAGAUUUAGGAUUCUCUCAAUUUUU
rnacentral:rRNA from 1 species